rnacentral:rRNA from 1 species
AGAACGAACGCUGGCGGCAUGCCUAACACAUGCAAGUCGAACGAGACCUUCGGGUCUAGUGGCGCACGGGUGCGUAACGCGUGGGAAUCUGCCCUUGGGUUCGGGAUAACAGUUGGAAACGACUGCUAAUACCGGAUGAUAUCUUCGGAUCAAAGAUUUAUCGCCCAGGGAUGAGCCCGCGUAGGAUUAGCUUGUUGGUGAGGUAAGAGCUCACCAAGGCGACGAUCCUUAGCUGGUCUGAGAGGAUGAUCAGCCACACUGGGACUGAGACACGGCCCAGACUCCUACGGGAGGCAGCAGUGGGGAAUAUUGGACAAGUGGGCGAAAGCCUGAUCCAGCAAUGCCGCGUGAGUGAUGAAGGCCCUAGGGUUGUAAAGCUCUUUACCGGAUGAUAAUGACAGUACCGGAGAAGUAGCCCGGCUAACUCCGUGCCAGCAGCCGC